CCGAGCUCCCUCAAUCUCUUUUCCGCUUUCUGCUUGGCUGGAAAGGAGUUGGGGUGGAUAGCAGAGAGGGGAAAAGAGAUUGAGGGAGCUCGG